AGGGUUUGAUUAUGGCUCAGGACGAACGCUGGCGGCGUGCUUAAGACAUGCAAGUCGAACGGAUGUAGAAAUACAUUAGUGGCGGACUGGUGAGUAACGUGUGAGCAAUCUGCCUCUAACUGGGGGAUAACACUUAGAAAUAGGUGCUAAUACCGCAUAAGACCACAUGAAGGCAUCUUCGAGGGGUCAAAGAUUUUAUCGGUUAGAGAUGAGCUCGCAUCCCAUUAGCUUGUUGGUGAGGUAACGGCCCACCAAGGCGACGAUGGGUAGCCGACCUGAGAGGGUGAUCGGCCACACUGGGACUGAGAUACGGCCCAG
rnacentral:rRNA from 1 species